AUUGAACGCUGGCGGCAGGCUUAACACAUGCAAGUCGAGCGGGGUGAUGGUGCUUGCACUAUCACUUAGCGGCGGACGGGUGAGUAAUGCUUAGGAAUCUGCCUAUUAGUGGGGGACAACAUCUCGAAAGGGAUGCUAAUACCGCAUACGUCCUACGGGAGAAAGCAGGGGAUCACUUGUGACCUUGCGCUAAUAGAUGAGCCUAAGUCGGAUUAGCUAGUUGGUGGGGUAAAGGCCUACCAAGGCGACGAUCUGUAGCGGGUCUGAGAGGAUGGUCCGCCGCACUGGGACUGAGACACGGCCCAGACUCCUACGGGAGGCAGCAGUGGGGAAUAUUGGACAAUGGGGGGAACCCUGAUCCAGCCAUGCCGCGUGUGUGAAGAAGGCCUUAUGGUUGUAAAGCACUUUAAGCGAGGAAGAGGCUCUUUUGGUUAAUACCCAAGAUGAGUGGACGUUACUCGCAGAAUAAGCACCGGCUAACUCUGUGCCAGCCGCCGCCGUAA
rnacentral:rRNA from 1 species